AGAUUUCUCAAGAUCAUAAGUUUGGACAGAAUUCAUUUGAAGAAUUAAUAGCACAAGCAGGUUUCAUUAAAGGCCGGAACAGAGCAGACAGAAAAGAAUCUGUCAGAAAAAAUUCAACUACUGUUCGUGCACCAGAUGGUGAAGUAGAAAAGUUCAUAAAAACUUCUGCAGCUUGCAUCUGACAGAGAUGCAAAAAGAAUAAGAGAGCGGGCCUGAAAACAAGCAAAUUCAAGGGUACACUUGAGGAGUGUCCAGAUGUUUAUUAAUGUUUUAUUAAUGUAAUGUUAUAUUUCAAAUAAACAUGUAAACAUACUGUAUAUUUUUCCUUUUUUUUUAAACACCUACAGUAAAGUGUGACACUUAACACAUUAAAAGCAUCACAAACAUUGAGGAUAGAACUUCUAAUGUGCAGUUUAACUUUUUUUAAAGGGACCAUUUAACAUGUCCGCCCAAAAAAAAAUCAAUUCAUACUCCACACGCCAAACAGACGGGGGCAGUAUACCUCCAGAAAAGUGAGUUGGUCUAUUUUAAUUUAGCAGCUGCAAAUUCAGCAGCAUAUAUCAAGUUUGAUUUAAAUU